AAGAAAGCAGGCAGAUAAAGCAAAGGUCAUCUGACAAGUUCUGUUAGUUUAAUAUUCCAUCGGAGUUUCAUCCGGGUACACUUUUCUCUGCAGGAGGGUGGUGCUGGGUGUGGGAGAAGGAUCAGGACAUGGUUGAAGGGGUCGGAGAUUGUGAAACGAGAGUUUCGCACUUGUUGCCCAGGCUGGAGUGCAAUGGCAUGAUCUUGGCUCACCGCAACCUCCGCCUCCCAGGUUCAAGCAAUUCUCCUGCCUCAGCCUCCCAAGUAGCUGGGAUUACAGCUACUCCAUGCCCAGCUAAUUUUGUAUUUUUAAUAGAGACGGGGUUUCUCCAUGUUGAGGCUGGUCUCGAACUCCUGACCUCAGGUGAUCCGCCCGCCUUGGCCUCCCAAAGUGCUGGGAUUACAGGCAUGAGCCACUGCGCCCGGCCGGACAAAACUAUAUUCUAAGAUGUUUGUUCUUUUGAACUCUGAGGAAUUACGUGAUGUCCACAAAAUCUGAAAACUGGGAUGAAGAGGAAACUUAGACUGCCUCUAGAACUUCAUUCUCAGCCUAGGAGUCAUUUGGAAUAUCAAUCCAAGAUCCUACCCUACCUUCACAGAUAAAACUCCAAUUAAACAGAUAUUAUUUCUGACUUAUAAGUGACACCUGCUGAGUCUCUCUUCUCUCUCCUUUGAGCAGAUCAGGUGUUCCAUUUCACAGUUAAUGGAUUAUGAAGAAUGCUGUGUGCAGAGUGUUCAGACUGAGGUGCAGAGAUUAGCAGAUGUGUAAGAAGAGAAUAACUGCUUAAAGAUGCGGCUCAGAUACUGUAACCCUUAGAAUUUCAUGGAAAACUGAUUUUCUUGAAAAAUAAUGCAAGGUCAAAGUCCUUUUGUUUAUUUAUUAGGACUCUUUGAACAUGUCUCAUCGGAAUUAUUGGACUUACCGUGUUUUAGGAAGUAACAUUCUGGAGAAAGCUAGGGACACAUGGAUUACCUUAGCCUUCCCACUAGACUGUAAUCCCCAAGAGGCUGGAGAGCACAUCCGUACUGCUAACUGCAUACCUGGCACAGUGCCUGGCAUACAGUGUUCAAGUAUUAUUCAAUAAUGUAUGUGGUAGAAUGAUUGACAGAUAAUUUAUGUGGGGAAGAUUUGUGUUUAAAUGGGAGAUCCUGAAAAUACAACUCAAUCUCUUUUUGGUAAAAUGUAUGGCAAAAUCUUUUUGAGCAUAGGCCCUUCUCUCAGCAGUUGGGAUUUUCUAGUUGUUCAUUCUCUUGAACUUUACAAUCAAGGCUUAAUUAUUGUUUUCAAUCACAGUGAGAUGAGAAUCCUUAGAGUCUGGUUCACUAUGACUGGGAUUGUUCCUGUAUGGGGGAAGAGCUAUUCCCAAGCUUAGGGCUCUCAGUUACAGUGAAUUAUCUCACAAGGAUCUUUAAUUACAAGGACCUUUAAUUAUAUCCUGUUACUAUAGUGAUUAUUACAGAAUUGGCUGAUUUAAAUAAUUCAAAUUGCAAAAGAAAAAUGAAGGAAGGGUGCAUCAAAUGAGAAGGAGAGAACUGUUUAGCCACCAAAAGGAAAAUAUUCUCAACCAGAAGAAAACAAAAUCUAGCUUAUGCUGUUUUUAAAAGACACACCUAAAACAUAAUGACACAGAACAAUUAGGAAGUAAAGGAAUGAAAAGAAACUUACCAGAGAAUUACCACUCCCAGGAAAAUCCAAAUUAGCAAUAUCAGUAUCAGAAAAAAUAGGUUUUAAGACAAACGUGACCAUUAUAAAUAAAGGGGAUUGUAUGUAACAAUGAAAAGAAUAAUUUAUUUGGAGGAUUGAACAUUUAAAUCUAUAUACGCCCAAUAAUACAGCUUCAAAAUAUAUAAAGCAAAAACUGAUAGAAUUAUAAUAAAUAGAAACUUACUUAAUCCUAGAAGAUUUUAACUUACUUAUAAAUCACCUCCAAAAACGAUAUCUUAAGCAGCAAAAAAGAUGAACCUCAUUAAUGCAAAAAUCCUAAAUAAAAG
rnacentral:lncRNA from 10 species